rnacentral:rRNA from 1 species
UACAGAGGUCUCAAGCGUUGUUCGGAUUCAUUGGGCGUAAAGGGUGCGUAGGCGGCGCGGUAAGUCGGGUGUGAAAUCUCGGAGCUUAACUCCGAAACUGCAUUCGAUACUGCCGUGCUUGAGGACUGGAGAGGAGACUGGAAUUUACGGUGUAGCGGUGAAAUGCGUAGAUAUCGUAAGGAAGACCAGUGGCGAAGGCGGGGUCUCUGGACAGUUCCUGACGCUGAGGCACGAAGGCCAGGGGAGCAAACGGGGAUUAGAA